rnacentral:rRNA from 1 species
AUUGAACGCUGGCGGCAUGCCUUACACAUGCAAGUCGAACGGUAACAGGUCUUCGGAUGCUGACGAGUGGCGAACGGGUGAGUAAUACAUCGGAACGUGCCUAGUAGUGGGGGAUAACUACUCGAAAGAGUGGCUAAUACCGCAUGAGAUCUACGGAUGAAAGCAGGGGAUCGCAAGAACUUGUGCUACCAGCGCGGCCGAUGGAAGAUUAGGUAGUUGGUGGGAUAAAAGCUUACCAAGCCGACGAUCUGUAGCUGGUCUGAGAGGACGAUCAGCCACACUGGGACUGAGACACGGCCCAGACUCCUACGGGAGGCAGCAGUGGGGAAUUUUGGACAAUGGGCGCAAGCCUGAUCCAGCAAUGCCGCGUGCAGGAUGAAGGCCUUCGGGUUGUAAACUGCUUUUGUACGGAACGAAAAGCCCUGGGUUAAUACCCUGGGGUCAUGACGGUACCGUAAGAAUAAGCACCGGCUAACUACGUGCCAGCAGCCGCCGUAAUAC